GACAGGUCCAUUGGUCGCUUCAUUGAAUUUAAACAAAGACAUUUAUCAGACAAAAAGAUCCAUCAGAGACCAGAUUCUGCUGGACAUGGACCUGGACCUGAACCUGAACCUGGACCCAGCUGUGUGUCCUUCAAGAGUGACAGGUCCAUUGGUCGCUUUAUUGAUUUUAAAGAUGUCCGACCGUCUGCUGCACAGAGGUCAGCUGUUAAUAACAUUAAAAUCUGACUGAUUCAUGUUUGAACUGUUAUUUAUCCAGACAAGUUUUUUAAACCUGAAUGUUUAUUUUCAGCUUCGUUCUUCAGAAACAUUUAGAUUCUCACAUCUGAAAACUGACCAGUAGAACCAGAAGAACCAGUAGAACUAGUAGAACCAGUAAGACCAGUAGAACCAGUAGAACCAGUAGAACCAGUAGAAGCCGUCUUCAUCUCUUGGCUUCAGUUCCACAUUUUCUCCACACAGACGUUCUGACUGUUGUCUGACUGCAUGAGUAUAAAACAGUGAUUUUAUUGAGGCUAACAGAUGCUAGCUGCUAACGAAGGCUAACCCUGAUUCCACUGAGUUCCUCCAUCAAAUCAACAUUUUCUAGUUUUCAGUCACGUGACAACGGAAUAGAAACAUGUCAGUGAUAACAGCUGGACUGAGAUCAGCUGCUCUGCUCAUCUUGUCUGAGUGUUGUCAAUCAUACGUCAGCUCUUUGUUUCCCUUCAACAUGACAGAACUGUUCUUACAUUGAUUCACUCUGGAGUUCUUGAAGAGAAGUUUUGUUUUCAGUCGUGGAGAACAGUUCUGCUGGAUGACAGGAGAAAACAAGCAGAACAUUGUUUUGUCAAAUGUAUCCAGAACACAUUGUUUCACUUUGUAGAUCACUCUCUGUGCGUUUACGGUUAUUUUUGAGACAGAAAUAACUCAAUAUAGUCGCUGCUUCACCAUUUUAGCUGCCUCUCUGGUUGGGAUGCAUGUAAACAGUGAGGUCACAUCGUAGGACACCAUGGUUUCAUCUGUGUCCAGUUUCAGUCCACGAACCUUGUUUACAAAGUCCA